UACAGGCUUAACACAUGCAAGUCGAGGGGAAACGAUAUUGGAAGCUUGCUUCCGAUAGGCGUCGACCGGCGCACGGGUGAGUAACGCGUAUCCAACCUGCCCCCAACUCCGGAAUAGUCCCCCGAAAGGGGGGUUAACGCCGGAUGCUGCAAUUUUUCCGCAUGGUGAAAUUGCGAAAUGAAAAAGGUUGGGGCUGGGGAUGCGUCCCAUUAGGUAGUAGGCGGGGUAACGGCCCACCUAGCCGACGAUGGGUAGGGGUUCUGAGAGGAAGGUCCCCCACAUUGGAACUGAGACACGGUCCAAACUCC
rnacentral:rRNA from 1 species